AGUGAACGCUGGCGGUAGGCCUAACACAUGCAAGUCGAACGGCAGCACAGUAAGAGCUUGCUCUUACGGGUGGCGAGUGGCGGACGGGUGAGGAAUACAUCGGAAUCUACUUUUUCGUGGGGGAUAACGUAGGGAAACUUACGCUAAUACCGCAUACUACCUACGGGUGAAAUCAGGGGAUCUUCGGACCUUGCGCGAUUGAAUGAGCCGAUGUCGGAUUAGCUAGUUGGCGGGGUAAAGGCCCACCAAGGCGACGAUCCGUAGCUGGUCUGAGAGGAUGAUCAGCCACACUGGAACUGAGACACGGUCCAGACUCCUACGGGAGGCAGCAGUGGGGAAUCUUGGACAAUGGGCGCAAGCCUGAUCCAGCCAUACCGCGUGGGUGAAGAAGGCCUUCGGGUUGUAAAGCCCUUUUGUUGGGAAAGAAAAGAAGCAGGUUAAUCCCCCGCUGUUCUGACGGUACCCAAAGAAUAAGCACCGGCUAACUUCGUG
rnacentral:rRNA from 1 species